GGGCCUAUAACUCAAUGGCAGAGUGCGCGAAUGGCAUUCGCGAUACCGGGGUUCGACUCCCCGUAGGUCCA
rnacentral:tRNA from 1 species